rnacentral:rRNA from 1 species
UGGGGAAUAUUGCACAAUGGGGGAAACCCUGAUGCAGCGACGCCGCGUGAGCGAAGAAGGCCUUCGGGUCGUAAAGCUCUUUUAUGAGGGAAGAUAAUGACGGUACCUCAAGAAAAAGCCCCGGCUAACUACGUGCCAGCAGCCGCGGUAAUACGUAGGGGGCUAGCGUUGUCCGGAAUCACUGGGCGUAAAGGGUUCGCAGGCGGAAUAACAAGUCAGAUGUGAAAGGCAUGGGCUCAACCCAUGUAAGCAUUUGAAACUGUAAUUCUUGAGAAGUGGAGAGGUAAGUGGAAUUCCUAGUGUAGCGGUGAAACGCGUAGAUAUUAGGAGGAAUACCUGUGGCGAAGGCGACUUACUGGACACAAAUCUGACGCUGAGGAACGAAAGCGUGGGUAGCAAACAGG